CCGCCCGUCACGUCAUGGGAGUCGGCAGCACCUGAAGCCGCUACGCCAACCCGCAAGGGAGGCAGGCGUCGAGGGUGAGGCUGGCGACUAGGACG
rnacentral:rRNA from 1 species